GACAGAGGGGGCAAGCGUUGCUCGGAAUCACUGGGCGUAAAGGGCGCGUAGGCGGGAUGGCAAGUCAGUCGUGAAAUCUCUCGGCUCAACCGAGAAACGUCGGCUGAUACUGCCGUUCUUGAGGGAUGCAGAGGAGACUGGAAUUCCCGGUGUAGCGGUGAAAUGUGUAGAGAUCGGGAGGAACACCGGUGGCGAAGGCGGGUCUUUGGGCAUCUCCUGACGCUGAGGCGCGAAAGCGUGGGGAGCAAACGGG
rnacentral:rRNA from 1 species